CCUACGCGAGGCAGCAGUGAGGAAUAUUGGUCAAUGGGCGAGAGCCUGAACCAGCCAAGUCGCGUGAGGGAGUACUGCCCUAUGGGUUGUAAACCUCUUUUGUCGGGGAGCAAAAGCCGGACGUGUCCGGCUGUGAGAGUACCCGAAGAAAAAGCAUCGGCUAACUCCGUGACAGCAGCCGCGGUAAUAGGGAGGAUGCGAGCGUUAUCCGGAUGUAUUGGGUUGAAAGGGUGCGCAGGCGGAUUUUUAAGUCAGCGGGCAAAUCGUGGGGCUCAACCCCAUCCAGCCGUUGAAACUGGGGAUCUAGAGUGUGCGAGAGGUAUGCGGAAUGCGUGGUGUAGCGGUGAAAUGCAUAGAUAUCACGCAGAACCCCGAUUGCGAAGGCAGCAUACCGGUGCACAACUGACGCUCAGGCACGAAAGCGUGGGUAUCGAACAGGAUUAGAUACCCCUGUAGUC
rnacentral:rRNA from 1 species